CAGUUAUACACCCCGGGCUCGCCGUUCCUCUGCAGAUCACCGUGACAGCCCCCAAAUCCACACUACCCGCUGUGCUGUGCCGUGCCGUCUGAGGUGCCAAAGUCUCCUGCUCCCUGCUACAAUAACAGUGCAGUGGACACAGCGUGCAGGUGCGAAGCCCAGGACUUUCUACUCUCUGGCUGAUUUAGAGCCUUCGGGGAGGACUACUGGGGAGUUCCGACGACUGUUGGACUUCGUUGCAGGCGGGGAGACCGUCUGGGAAGAUGGAUACCAGGAAAGCAGGACCCUCCACAGGUAAAAUGGAUUCAGUUUGCUGUGACGAGGAUAGUGAUGACAGGUCUCUCCUUCCUCAACCUCGCUGCGGGAUAGAUGGUACUCUUCUCUCUAGCUUUGGAGUGUUUAGGAAGACCCGACCGUGCACGCGCUGCCGCUAGAAUGGACAGCUCCACGCAGGCACUGAGCAGGCUCUUAUAUAGUCUUUUUGGCGGGAAAAACUGGUUCUGUCCAGUUUGAGCCAGAGGACUCCAGUGUCUAAGUUGUAAACAUGUUUGCCUACAAGGAUGGAGUCCAAAGGUCAUAGUUCAUAUAUUCCAUAUUCAAUUCUAUUAAAGCUAGUGAUUCACUUAA